CACCGGCAGCUCGAGUGGUGGCCACUCUUAUUGGGCCUAAAGCGUCCGUAGCCGGCUUGGCAAGUCCCCUGGGAAAUCUGGCGGCUUAACCGUCAGGCGUCCAGAGGAUACUGCCAGGCUUGGGACCGGGAGAGGUGAGAGGUACCUCAGGGGUAGGGGUGAAAUCUUGUGAUCCCUGAGGGACCACCAGUGGCGAAGGCGUCUCACUAGAACGGGUCCGACGGUCAGGGACGAAAGCUAGGGGAGCAAACCGG
rnacentral:rRNA from 1 species